rnacentral:tRNA from 1 species
GCGCCCGUAGCUCAGGGGAUAGAGCAUCUGCCUUCUAAGCAGAGGGUCGCAGGUUCGAAUCCUGCCGGGCGUG